AACCUUUACACUGCACGCCAGUGCGAUAAGGGGACUCCAAGUGCGAGGGCAUAUAGUCCUCGCUUUUCUGGACCGUAAGGAGGUCCAGGAACAAGGGCUGGGCAAGACCGGUGCCAGCCGCCGCGGUAAUACCGGCAGCCCAAGUGAUGGCCGCUCUUAUUGGGCCUAAAGCGUCCGUAGCUGGCCAGGCAAGUCCGUCGGGAAAUCCGCGUGCCCAACACGCGGGCGUCCGGUGGAAACUGCCUGGCUUGGGACCGGGAGACCUGAGGGGUACGUCCGGGGUAGGAGUGAAAUCCCGUAAUCCUGGACGGACCACCGGUGGCGAAAGCGCCUCAGGAAGACGGAUCCGACGGUGAGGGACGAAAGCUCGGGUCACGAACCGGAUUAGAUACCCGGGUAGUCCGAGCUGCAAACGAUGUCUGCUAGGUGUGACACAGGCUACGAGCCUGUGUUGUGCCGUAGGGAAGCCGUGAAGCAGACCGCCUGGGAAGUACGUCCGCAAGGAUGAAACUUAA
rnacentral:rRNA from 1 species